rnacentral:rRNA from 1 species
UACGAAGGGGGCUAGCGUUGCUCGGAAUCACUGGGCGUAAAGCGCGCGUAGGCGGAUCUUUAAGUCAGGGGUGAAAUCCCAAGGCUCAACCUUGGAACUGCCUUUGAUACUGGGGAUCUCGAGUCCGGAAGAGGUUGGUGGAACUCCGAGUGUAGAGGUGAAAUUCGUAGAUAUUCGGAAGAACACCAGUGGCGAAGGCGGCCAACUGGUCCGGCACUGACGCUGAGGUGCGAAAGCGUGGGGAGCAAACAGG